rnacentral:rRNA from 1 species
UACGGAGGGUGCAAGCGUUAUCCGGAUUCACUGGGCUUAAAGGGUGCGUAGGUGGGUCUGUAAGUCAGUGGUGAAAUCUCCGGGCUUAACCCGUAAACUGCCAUUGAUACUACAGGUCUUGAAUUUUCCGGAGGUAAGCGGAAUAUGUCAUGUAGCGGUGAAAUGCUUAGAUAUGACAUAGAACACCAAUUGCGAAGGCAGCUUACUACAGGAACAUUGACACUGAGGCACGAAAGCGUGGGGAUCAAACAGG